UCGGGUUGUAAAGCACUUUUGUCUGGAAAGAAAUCCUUGGUUCUAAUACAGCCGGGGGAUGACGGUACCGGAAGAAUAAGCACCGGCUAACUACGUGCCAGCAGCGCGGUAAUCGUAGGGUGCGAGCGUUAAUCGGAAUUACUGGGCGUAAAGCGUGCGCAGGCGGUUUGCUAAGACCGAUGUGAAAUCCCCGGGCUCAACCUGGGAACUGCAUUGGUGACUGGCAGGCUAGAGUAUGGCAGAGGGGGGUAGAAUUCCACGUGUAGCAGUGAAAUGCGUAGAGAUGUGGAGGAAUACCGAUGGCGAAGGCAGCCCCCUGGGCCAAUACUGACGCUCAUGCACGAAAGCGUGGGGAGCAAACAGGAUUAGAUACCCUGGUAGUCCACGCCCUAAACGAUGUCAACUAGUUGUUGGGGAUUCAUUUCCUUAGUAACGUAGCUAACGCGUGGAGUUGACCGCCUGGGGAGUACGGUCGCAAGAUUAAAACUCAAAGGAAUUGACGGGGACCCGCACAAGCGGUGGAUGAUGUGGAUUAAUUCGAUGCAACGCGAAAAACCUUACCUACCCUUGACAUGGUCGGAUCCUGCUG
rnacentral:rRNA from 1 species